rnacentral:rRNA from 1 species
UUUAUCAAAAACAUGGCCUUUUGUUAUUAUUUAAGGUCUAACCUGCCCUAUGAAUUUUAAAUGGCCGCGGUAUUCUGACCGUGCAAAGGUAGCAUAAUCAUUAGUUUUUAAUUGAAAGCUGGCAUGAAAGGUUGAAUGAAAAAUAGCUGUCUCUUAAAAAUUUUAUUAGAAUUUUAUUUUUAAGUUAAAAAGCUUAAAUAAUAUUUAAAGACGAGAAGACCCUUUAGAGUUUUAUAUAAUUUUAUUAAUUUAUAUUUUUAGAAUUUACUGUUUAAAUUAAUGAUUUAUAUUUGAUUGGGGUGAUUGGAAAAUUUAAUAAACUUUUCUUAUUAGACCAUUAAUUUAUGAAUAAAUGAUCCAUAUUUUAUGAUUAUAAGAACAAAUUACCUAAGGGAUAACAGCGUUAUUUUUUUUGAGAGUUCUAAUCGAAAAAAAAGAUUGCGACCUCGAUGUUGGAUUAAAAUUAAAUUAUGGUGCAGCAGUCAUAACUUUAGGUCUGUUCGACCUUUAAAAUUUUACAUG